CCUCCCCACGUUGAUCCCCCUGGCUGCAUGUCUUACAUUCCUCUGACACUUCCUCAACAGGUUCUGGGGCUUGUCCCACUGGUGACCACAAUGCUGGGAGCCCUCAUUCCUGAGAUCUCCAGCACGCUGCCUCCAUCACAGCCAGUGGUGAUUGAAAUGCGAGAGACGCAGCCCCCGCUGGUGACAAUAACCCCAGAGAAAAGCACUGUGCACCUCUUCAGCACUGCCGAGUUCUGGGCUUCCAGUCCUGGCUCUGCUCCUGGAUCCCUCUUUGUCCUGGAUGUGCACUCUGAGCUGGGUGUGCGGUUUGCUGUCGCAGAAGAGAGGCUGCAGUUCUCCCUGACGCUGCAUAGGUAACAGCACAGGUCUGACUGACCAGUGUCACCACCAGCAAAGAGACAAUGCUGCAGUGGGGCAGUGGUGCUGGAUAUGUCUCGCACCUCGCUGGUGCACUUCCAUCUCUCCUCAUGGGUUUGUAGUGGUUGAUACUAGCAGCUAUGGGGGUCUUGGAGGAGUGUGACUGAGGAUGGAGGGGUGGUGCAGGGCAGGGCAGUGAUCCCAUGCUCCUGUCCCUACAGCCUGUCCCACGUGGCUGUGGUGAACUCCUCCAUGGGCACAUUCAAUGUGAGUCCUGCAGGGUGUGGGCAUAGCUUUACUCUUUGGGUCUGAGCUCUGCU
rnacentral:lncRNA from 1 species